rnacentral:tRNA from 1 species
UCCCUGGUGGUCUAGUGGUUAGGAUUCAGCAUUCUCACUGCCAUGACCUGGGCUUGAUUCCAAGUCAGGGAA